GAUGAACGCUGGCGGCGUGCCUAAUACAUGCAAGUCGAGCGAACAGACGAGGAGCUUGCUCCUCUGACGUUAGCGGCGGACGGGUGAGUAACACGUGGAUAACCUACCUAUAAGACUGGGAUAACUUCGGGAAACCGGAGCUAAUACCGGAUAAUAUAUUGAACCGCAUGGUUCAAUAGUGAAAGACGGUUUUGCUGUCACUUAUAGAUGGAUCCGCGCCGCAUUAGCUAGUUGGUAAGGUAACGGCUUACCAAGGCAACGAUGCGUAGCCGACCUGAGAGGGUGAUCGGCCACACUGGAACUGAGCCACGGUCCAGACUCCUACGGGAGGCAGCAGUAGGGAAUCUUCCGCAAUGGGCGAAAGCCUGACGGAGCAACGCCGCGUGAGUGAUGAAGGUCUUCGGAUCGUAAGACUCUGUUAUUAGGGAAGAACAAAUGUGUAAGUAACUAUGCACGUCUUGACGGUACCUAAUCAGAAAGCCACGGCUAACUACGUG
rnacentral:rRNA from 1 species